UCACUCUCUCUCUCACUCACUUUCUCUCUCUCUCACUCACUCUCUCUCACUCUCUCUCUCUCACUCUCUCUCACUCUCUCCGUCUCUCUCUCUCUCUCUCUCUCUCUCUCUCUCUCUCUCUUUCUCUCCGUCUCCUUGUGUCUGUUUGUGAUAGGUUGUUCAGCCUGAUGUACCUAGCAGCACGCACUACUCGAAGACGAUCGGUUCACGCAACCCAAUGUGAUAGACGGCGAAGCUGUACCCAUGGCGAGCACUCGAUGUGGUGUAGUUACAUUCGUAUGCGGUUUAGUCUUGCUCAGCAUAGGCAUUGUCACCUUUUUUACUGGUCUUGGAUUGUUGAUAAUUCCUCUGGCUGGCGCAGGUGGUGUCACCCUGCUGAUAGGCUCCGCACUAACUCUAUCUGGCUGUUUGACUGUGAGAAGAAAGCGCCGCGAUGCCGAGAUACGGGCACGGAGUACGUUGCACCCAGGUAGGCGGCCGCCUGCUGGUCGUCCACCGCCAGCUGCGUCCACCGCCGUGAGAAAUAGUAGCACCCCUGUGCCCGGUUCCACUGUAUUGUCUAUUCAACGUCCAAGCUCACAGCGGUCUUCUGCUAGGCCGCCUACAGUAGCGCAUGGCACGCUGAGCUCCGGUGCAAACCCCAACACAGCGAUGUCGUUGCCGAGAGUAGAAGAUGAGAUUACUCCGCCAGGGGCUGACGUUGACACAGUAACUGCCUCCCACGAUGUCUCCGGAUCCAUUGGAGAGGCGGACAAUUCAACCUCUCCACCUGGAUACAGUGUUCCGGCAGAGAACAAUCUGAAUGAUGCCGUUUCUGAACUCAGACACGUGCCAAGUGACUAUCCGCCACAAGACGAGCUGCCGUCUUACGAUGAAGUGGUUCUGGAGUCCUUGUACGAAAUUGUGAACCGUCUAUAAGCGUGCUGCGAGAAACUCGAUUUCUCAUUGCCCUCGCAUAUGCCGACCUGCAGACAGAUACCCUCUGCACUUACUACGCUCCACGUCAGCAGUGUACAUUGGACAUCUCCACACCGAAGUAAUGCUGUCACACCUCUACUCCCAUACUUCUAUCAGAUCAAAAAGGAGACCAAAUGGGAGCGAGAUGAGGACCAUCGCUAGGCCGGCCGGAAGCAAUCUGGUUUGUCCGGUCCGUCAUCAUCAGACCAUCAGGUUGCCUACAAACGCAUCUCUCCUAGUGAAGAUUUUUAUUAUUAUGUAAUCACUUUGAUCACUCACAAAGUAUGAAUACCUACUGUAAGACUAAUAAUUGAAACCUGCUGGCUGUGGUCCUGUUCGAUAUACUCGUGUUACGACGGAGGAACCAUAUCUCGCUGCUGAUAAGCCGCCUACGACUCUUGGUCACUGAUGGUAUCAGUGAUGUGUGACGGUCGACAGUCGACCAUGCGGUUUGUGCCCGCCUGCCGCAUACACACCCACACACCGAAGUGCGUGGGCACGCAUGCUCGCGCACGCACACACACAUUGAACCUUGAAUGUGGCCAUUGAACAUCGAUCAUAGCAAAAUCUCGUUGCCUUGCACACACAUGCGUGUGCAUGCACACACAUACACGUACACACAUACACACACACACACAUACACACACACACAAACACACAUUUAGCCCUGUGGACACUGGCUAACACUGUACGAUGUUAUUUGUCAGAUAUUUUUGCAGAAAUUCUGUCUUCUGGAAUUAUAUUCAUAGGUGCCUUUUUCCACGUUAUAGAGUCUGUCCAUCGAAAUUAUAUAGAAAUGCUCUAUUGUAUUUUUUUAGGCUAUGAACAAAAUUAACUGUGCACUCAAUAUUCCGUUGCACAAGGUUAGGUAGGUUGAGAAGUUUCAAAAUUCCUUGUUUUCUCAUUGCGGAACAGUGGUCUUCUUAGCAUUUCUAUAAUGUGCAUAAGACAAUCCAGUGAUAAUGAUUUCUUCAUUAUGCUGUUCUGCGAUUUUAUAUGAAAUUAUACUUGAAUAUCAAAAUGGCCUCAUAA